CAGGGAGUAGCUCAGUGGUCAGAGCGCGAGCCUUAUAAGCUCGUGGACGGCGGUUCGAUUCCACUCUCCCCUACCA
rnacentral:tRNA from 1 species